rnacentral:rRNA from 1 species
UACAGAGGUCUCAAGCGUUGUUCGGAUUCAUUGGGCGUAAAGGGUGCGUAGGCGGCGCGGUAAGUCGGGUGUGAAAUCUCGGGGCUUAACUCCGAAACUGCAUUCGAUACUGCCGUGCUUGAGGACUGGAGAGGAGACUGGAAUACUUGGUGUAGCAGUGAAAUGCGUAGAUAUCGUAAGGAAGACCAGUGGCGAAGGCGGGUCUCUGGACAGUUCCUGACGCUGAGGCACGAAGGCCAGGGGAGCAAACGGG